GGGCCGGUAGCUCAGUUGGUCAGAGCAGCGGACUCAUAAUCCGUAGGUCGAAGGUUCGAUCCCUUCCCGGCCCA
rnacentral:tRNA from 1 species